UGCUUGUGCAACAUCUCGCAAUCAUUCGAUCAUGCGCCGACUAGUAACAAAGACACAAAAGUAGAGUCAAGUAUUGCAAAACUCUUACUACCUAAGAACUGUGGCGUCUCGCGAAACAUGCUAGUGGAGAAGCAUUCGACAGCCCUGAGAACAUCGUAUACAGCGCAACCAUGAGAGUAUUCUUAGCGAUGUGCUUCCUUUCCUCUGCAAGCUUGACCGCAGCCCGCGGGUUCCUAGGUGGCAGCUUUAAUGGCAAUGGACUAAGGGGACACUGGUCGGCCGGUGUGGAGAACGUUGGUCCUCAUGGAGCACCGGGCUUUAGCGCCACAUUCCGCGCAUCACUAGAUGGAAGUUUUAGUACCUUCUACGAAACUGGACCAAUCCAUGCGGCAUUUGAUUACAGGUGGAAUUCGAACGCUGGGCGGUACCCCGACAGAAGAGCACCGUUUUAUCCACAAUAUACACCUUAUGAAUUAUCGGGUGGUUAUGGAGACUAUGACCAAUAUGACUAUGAAGGCUAUGCAUACCGUCAGCCCAGGGGUUAUGGCACGCCAUGGGUAGGUGGAUACAGAAAUGGCUACGCUUUCGGCGGAUAUGCUUCGCACCCGUACGAAAGUGGCUACGGCUAUAGUUACGCUCCCGUUUUGCCCGGAAACUUUAACGGAUGGAGAGGACCGGCUGGUGUUCGUGGUUCAGCCGGAUUCUGAGUCGGUCCUGAGCGAGCCAGAGAAUCUGGAGCAAGGGGUGCUUCUAGAUGAGCCAAGGACUUGUUCGAAAAAAAGGGUACGUCUAGAAGAAGCAAAUAAAGGAAGACGCAAACGUAAAUUGAUGAUAACGAUAAAUAAUGGCAGCAACAUUUUGUGUUAACACAAAACACAAAUUACUUAUAGUGACUUACACGAUUCAAGGUCCCGAAUACGAAGAAAGAAUUUCUCUGGUGUACAUUGCCAAAUGAAAUUACUAUUACUUACUUACGUUGCCUUUUUUCUGUGCGUUGGAUCCUGACUUCCCUUGCUACGUAUUUGGUGGUCACUGCGUUGGGUUCAUAAUAGAAUUAUAGGUUCAAAAUACCUUAAAAAAUAGUUCGUUGCUGUAAGGGUCGCAAGAAUACAGAAAUUUUUCACACAGACAUAAAGGGUAAACAUACAACCAUAAGAAAACGUAUUUUCACGAAAUGACAGAGUCGGCAUGCGUAAAUGUACUCAAUCUAAUAAUACGCCAGCAAUGACGACAAUAGAUUAUUUUUAGCAAACUUAUGCGACGAUAAAAGAUGCACACAGACAACACAGUUUUGAGGAGAAGCUACGUGAGAGAUUGAGACCAUGAAAUUAGUGGCGACAGUCCCGUAAAAGCGUUCCGCAAGGCUCGACGUUUGUGUACCUAUUUUCGUGAUGGGUAAAGUAUAUCAUAAAAUGAAAAAAAUUAGCGCAGGUUUGACUUCAAUGGCGAAAAUUUUAUCUGACAAAGAAAACUGCGCUUUAGCUACAGGAGUGCUACAGAAGCGAGAUGUUAACUAUUAGAAAGCUAUGCUAGACAACCAUCAGCUAACGCUUCAAUUACUUCUCCGAUGACAAUAAAAUAUUCGUUCCUCAGGCAGAGAUACCAUAUGUUACGCAGCUUCACCAAUAAUAUCAUUGCGGAAUAAGUUACCGUUUACGCAACGAAGUGAAGCCUGUUAUAUAUAACGGUAGAAUGUUUUAUCAGGACAUCUUGGUGGAACACUUGUGGAGGCCCAAGCAACGGAGAAUAUUGCUACUUCACGUUCGUCCUGCUCGCGUUUUCCAGUGUGCCGUUUUUACAUGUGUGUCGGUAUAUAAGGCGCAAACAGUCAUACUACAAUGUGUUUGUCAGGAACAUUGGCUUUGAAGAAAAUGCUUUGUUUUUUUUUAAUGCAAUACAUCUAAAAUGAUUAGUAAAGGUGUUUAUGAAAUGAUGCCGUGGCUUCCAAAAUCCGUUACAAACAGGCUUGCGAAACGACACGGAAAACUUUUUUCUUUACUCGGACUGAAGAGUUUUUAUUAACCUGUUACGGCAGCGAGAUCGCGUUUUGAUCCCGUUCGGGUAGCGUAAAAAAGCCGAAGCAGCUAUUUCUGCGCACAUUCUGCUGCGCCUUAGUUAUAACAAAAGUGGCCUACUUCCAUUACUGUUCACUUACAGCUACGGCCUUCACAGCGACGGUUGGCGAAUAACUUACCUGUGAAUUUUUGCGAUAAACAAUACACGUAAUUGUUUUUACGAGCUCUUGUGCAACGAGCAGCUGUCGAAUCCCAGGAAGUGCUUUGUGAAGUACGCUCAAUAGGUGGCAACCUAACCAGAACUAAGUCGGAACUGACACUGAAGAAUAACCGAAAGUGAGCUGUUGCUGUUUCCUGAGACGCAACGAAACCUACGCAUAAAUACUUGCUGUCAUUUUGUUAUGGAAGUUUAACAAGAUCGCAGCACCAUAGCAAAGAAAAAAACGUCAGGAAUGAAAACGCUGUGCCGGUUCCAUUGCUGUUAACCAAACAUCGGCGGUACACUUCCGGUUAUUGCGCAUCAUCCUUUCCAGCUACGGUUGCUCUCAGACUGGGUUUUUACUUAUCGAGUCUACUUCACAAGGUACUUCCUCGAUUGUGAUAGCAGCUUCUUCUAUCACGACGCGCAUAGUCAAUUAAACACAUUUUCAGCAGGAAAGCAAAGGAGAUGUUUCUCAGUGCUCGCAGUAAAAGUAAUCGAUUCACUUGUGUAAGCUAAAUUUUCAGUUGAGAAUCGCUCAAAAACCGACAAUAUUCAACUGUCAAGCCAAGAUUUAUAGUUUGCCGAGCAUAAAACAAUAUAACUUCAUUAAUAUAGACGUCAUAUUAUACGAGAGGUAACGCAUAAAUUUUGAGCACUUUACAAAACAAGGAGAGUAAGUAAUGACAAACAAUAACUAUUGGUAUUUCGUCAUUUAUGGUUAUAAUUUGCUGCAUGAGACCACGUUUCUAAAUAUAAGAAAGAAACUAAGUUCGCCGAAGGACCUAAUCUUUAAUAAUCAUAUCAAAAGAAGCCAACAAUGACACCAACCUUUCUUUGGUUUCAUUGUUUGUUGGCUCCUCAUGGCAUGUUUCUACGUUUUAUAUUUUGUUGCCGCCUGCAACUACUCUGAUUUGCGUAAU
rnacentral:lncRNA from 1 species